CACUAGCGAUCUGAACACUUUUCGAAUUGAUGAAUGCAUGGAAAAUCCAUGUUCGAAAAACCAACAAGUGUGUAACUAAAAGGUCAAUGCUGAAAGCUCAUUCCAAAGUUGCUGCUUAUCCCAGUAUGUUUGAUAAAUGUAAAGCAAUGACCGUUGCGAUAGCGGAAAGCAAAAACUGUACCAAUAGGACGGUACAUCAACUGAUUAAUAUGCUAAUGUCCACUUCGUGAGCCAAGGUUACUGAGGCAUGCAAGCUUCCUAUGGGGCCUGACUAGCCAUCGUCAACGAGACCCAGCCAAUCACCAUAAUUCCACUGAAGCUAAUCAUUCAAUUGAUGUGUCGCAAAGAGAGCAGAUAAUGUAUCUUCCCCUUUCACCUAUAGCAAAUCGUAUCUUUCAAGCCAUCGUCCAAUUGACUUGACGAGUCGAUUCACGAUUGACGUUGAUUAGUACUAAGAAGUACGACCACAAACAGCCGUUUGUGAUGAGCUGAUUUCCACUACUAUCCAUCAAAUCACUCUUCCACGGCUGUUGUUGCGAAUAUUUGAAAAAAUUAUCAGUUUUCUUUUCUCGGUAAGGGCCUGCAUUAUUCUAUCGACGACGUCAGCCCCCAAAAACUUCACAUCUUCAACGUUGAUAGAUUAUUAACGAAGCAAGUACGUUUUGUGGUCUAUCUAGGCAAAUAUAAAAAGCCGAUCGUCUCCAAGCAUUUGAUCUCUGUCAUUGUAACCAUCUUACAAAAUCAACGCUCCAAAAAUAAACUUGAGGAAACAUGUUGCGCUCAUCGAUGCUGCUUGCUCUUUUGAUCGUCUUGCUGUGCGUCAUAUCAUCUUCUGCGAGUAAUUGUAAUUGCCAUCACGGCGAAAAAGGCUCGGCUGCUGAAGCCCAUCAUCACGGUUGUCACCACGAUGAAAGCGGCUCGAAUGGUGAAGCUCAUCACAGUUGCCACCACUCUACUGGAGAUGUUGCUCAUCACGAAACUCCCUGCCAAUGCCCUCACGAUACUCCUUGCCAAUGUUCUCACGAAGGAGUUCAUUCUUGCGGUCAUGCGGGAUGUCAUCACGACAAUCCGACCCUGAUGUGAGCGGAAAUUAUGAUCUGGCCAUUUUGUCUUAACAUUCUAAGUGGCGGUAACGAUGCUGGCUAUUAAUAUCAUUUUUGUUUGUUUACUUUUCUGUACGCACAUCCAAUCGAAGUAAAAUGUGUACAAAUUUA